rnacentral:rRNA from 1 species
ACGUAGGGUGCGAGCGUUAAUCGGAAUUACUGGGCGUAAAGCGUGCGCAGGCGGUGAUGUAAGACAGAUGUGAAAUCCCCGGGCUCAACCUGGGAACUGCAUUUGUGACUGCAUCGCUGGAGUGCGGCAGAGGGGGAUGGAAUUCCUGGUGUAGCAGUGAAAUGCGUAGAUAUCAGGGGGAAUACCGAUGGCGAAGGCAGGUCUCUGGGCUGACACUGACGCUCAUGCACGAAAGCGUGGGGAGCAAACAGGA